rnacentral:lncRNA from 1 species
AAUCCCAAGUAGGCCUUUGCAGGAGAGAUUCUUUUAUGGGAGAUUUUUCUUCCAGCAUACCCUAAGUAGGCCUUGUGGGAGUUGCAGCACAGCCAAAACACAGGUGACUACUUGUGUUUCAGCUGCUGCAAUUGAGCAGCUUCUCUUAAGAGGUGUGAGUGGCACAUUUGCUGAAACCCGGGCAGUGUCUGAGCUGUUUGAGCUCUCUCUCCCAUGACAGACAGCAAGAAAACAUCACAGUAGAAGCCAGCUGGGCCACCUUACAGCUAUUUGGUGUUUUCUCUAACCCCAGCACUAUUUAACUCAGUAAAGCACUUCAUCUUGUAGAGUCUGACAGUCUGGGAGUGGAGAAAAGGUGGUUCAGUAUCUCAGCCCCAGUUCUACUCUGGUUCCUAUUGCAGUGGGGCACUGGGGACAUGCAUUGGUGUGAGCCCUGUGCCAUGAUCCUGCCUUUGGGGCAGCAGCAGUGACAUUUGGGCAUGUUCCUCACUGUGGGGAAGCAUCACGAGGCUGCCAGGUCUUCAGAGAAUCUCACAUUCUCACCUGACACAGUCAGUUGAUGAAGCCUGUUAACAUCUGGGCUGAGAUGAAAAGCUGUAGUGCAGCUGUGUCAAGUGUCAAGUCAUGAUUGCAUUGCCACUCUAUUUCUUUGGAUAAUACAGCAGAUCCACAGCAAUUAUUUUUGAAUGCAGUCUCUGUAACUGCAGAGCAGUAAUGUGAAAUAUUUACUAUUUUGUUUGCCUCAUGCCAAGUGAGUUUUCACUCAAUUUGUCAUUAACACUGCUGUCCUCUUCUGAGGGAAGUGUUUAUUUAUGUGAACGGCUCUUCAGUAAUUUUGUGUUUUCUACAGGAAUAGGUGCUGGCAUCAUCAUUCAAUUUCAUUGACCACAAAAAUCUGCGCUGAUGAAGCUGUGGGACUGACGGCGGAUGUGAGAGACAGGAGGACAGAUCUCAUGCUCGGACAAUAACUGGUCUCAAAGGAGGAAGAAAAUAUUGCCUGGAGAUCUGACUGCUGACCCUGAGGAAAAUCUCCUGACUUUUUUCCACAGUAACUGUUCCAAAGUGUGGCCAUUUUCAGAGAUUACCAGUUUCCUGAAAACCCUUUUUUCUCCCACUGUGUUUAAUAUAAAAUACUUUUCUACAGCCUACAAAAAAAGGCUAAUCCAAAAAGUGAAAGCCAAGUCCUUUGCUCUUCCCUGUGCUGAGCCUCAAUGGAGAGAAACACACUCCCCCAGCAGCAAGCACGUCGUACUGCUGUCUGCAGCCUGGCUCAUGCAGGACAGGCAGGC